rnacentral:rRNA from 1 species
UACGGAGGGGGCUAGCGUUGUUCGGAAUUACUGGGCGUAAAGCGCACGUAGGCGGCUUGGUAAGUUAGAGGUGAAAGCCUGGAGCUCAACUCCAGAACUGCCUUUGAGACUGCAUCGCUUGAAUCAUGGAGAGGUUAGUGGAAUUCCGAGUGUAGAGGUGAAAUUCGUAGAUAUUCGGAAGAACACCAGUGGCGAAGGCGACUAACUGGACAUGUAUUGACGCUGAGGUGCGAAAGCGUGGGGAGCAAACAGG